rnacentral:rRNA from 1 species
CACGGGGGAUGCAAGCGUUAUCCGGAAUCACUGGGCGUAAAGCGUCUGUAGGUGGUGAUGCAAGUCACUGGUGCAAAACUCUGGCUCAACCGGAGGAAAGCCAGUGAAACUGCAUGACUAGAGUGUGGGAGAGGUAGAAGGAAUUCCCUGAGUAGCGGUGAAAUGCGUAGAUACAGGGAAGAACACCGGAGGCGAAAGCGUUCUACUGGAACACAACUGACCUUGAGAGACGAAAGCUAGGGGAGCGAAUGGG